rnacentral:rRNA from 1 species
AUUUAACGCUGUCAGCAGGCCUAACACAUGCAAGUCGAACGAGUGGCGGCCGGAUGAGUAAUGUCUGGGAAACUGCCCGAUGGAGGGGGAUAACUACUGGACACAGUAGCUACUACCGCAUACCAUCGGAUGUGCCCAGAUGGGAUUAGCUAGUAGGUGGGGUAACGGCUCCCCUAGGCGACGAUACCUAGCUGGUCUGAGAGGAUAACCAGCAACACUGGAACUGAGACACGGUCCAGACUCCUACGGGAGGCAGCAGUGGGGAAUAUUGCACAAGGGGCGCAAGCCUGAUGCAGCCAUGCCGCGUGUAUGAAGAAGGCCGUAGGGUUGUAAAGUACUUUCAGCGAGGAGGCGUUACUCGCAGAAGAAGCACCGGCUAACUCCGUGCCAGCAGCCGCGGUAAUUC